rnacentral:rRNA from 1 species
UGGGGAAUCUUCCGCAAUGGACGAAAGUCUGACGGAGCAACGCCGCGUGAGUGAAGACGGCCUUCGGGUUGUAAAGCUCUGUGAUCCGGGACGAAAGAGCCUGAGGUAAAUAGCCUAAGGAAGUGACGGUACCGGAAAAGCAAGCCACGGCUAACUACGUGCCAGCAGCCGCGGUAAUACGUAGGUGGCAAGCGUUGUCCGGAAUUAUUGGGCGUAAAGCGCGCGCAGGCGGCUUCCUAAGUCCAUCUUAAAAGUGCGGGGCUUAACCCCGUGAUGGGAUGGAAACUGGGAAGCUGGAGUAUCGGAGAGGAAAGGGGAAUUCCUAGUGUAGCGGUGAAAUGCGUAGAGAUUAGGAAGAACACCGGUGGCGAAGGCGACUUUCUGGACGAAAACUGACGCUGAGGCGCGAAAGCGUGGGGAGCAAACAGG